CACAGAAAAAUACUGCAUUUCCCCUCCCCUAGUAGCUAUAAGUUUUCCCAAAGAUUACUUUUUUCCUCCAUGCUUGAGAGCUUCAAAAGUGGCCCCAAUCAGAGAAAUGAUCAAGGUCUGGAUCUGCUGAAACCAUCACUGAAAGCAAAUCAUACUCAUGAGCCACCCUGAUGAGCUUCAAAAGGUUAUAUUCUCUUUGAGUUAGCAUUCAACCUUCAGAAAGAGACAAAACCACGAGAAAACAUAGGUGAAGUUCUCACUGUCUCUCUAUUUUUGCGAAUGGCAGAAGACAUGGAAACAAGCUAUGUUAAUCCUCACCUGCUUUAUCAAGAAGAAAAACUCUGCAUAUGAACAUGGACCAAGAGUCAAAGUUGCCCUCUGUUUAUCAAACUCAUUACAAGGUAUACUUGU